GUGGAUUAGAUACCCUAGUAGUCCACGCCGUAAACGAUGAGUGCUAGAUGUCGGAAGAUUUUCUUUCGGUUUCGCAGCUAACGCAUUAAGCACUCCGCCUGGGGACUACGAUCGCAAGAUUAAAACUCAAAGGAAUUGACGGGGGCUCGCACAAGUGGUGGAGCAUGCGGUUUAAUUCGAUGCUACGCGAAAAACCUUACCAACCCUUGACAUGGUGGUCAUAGAUUCCAGAGAUGGAUUCGUCAGUUCGGCUGGACCACACACAGGUGUUGCACGGCUGUCGUCAACU
rnacentral:rRNA from 1 species